ensembl:snRNA U6 U6 spliceosomal RNA
GUGCUCGCUUCCGCAGCACAUAUACUAAAAUUGGAAUGAUACAGAGAUUAGCAUGGCCCUUGCGCAAGGCUGACAUGCAAAUUCCUGAAGCGUUUCAUAUUAAA